UCCAGGGUAGCCUAGUGGACAUGGCAUCUGCCCUGUAAGCGGAACGUUGUGGGUUCGAUUCCCGCCCCUGGAC